rnacentral:rRNA from 1 species
GAUGAACGCUGGCGGCGUGCCUAAUACAUGCAAGUCGAGCGAACGGACGAGAAGCUUGCUUCUCUGAUGUUAGCGGCGGACGGGUGAGUAACACGUGGAUAACCUACCUAUAAGACUGGGAUAACUUCGGGAAACCGGAGCUAAUACCGGAUAAUAUUUUGAACCGCAUGGUUCAAAAGUGAAAGACGGUCUUGCUGUCACUUAUAGAUGGAUCCGCGCUGCAUUAGCUAGUUGGUAAGGUAACGGCUUACCAAGGCGACGAUGCAUAGCCGACCUGAGAGGGUGAUCGGCCACACUGGAACUGAGACACGGUCCAUACUCCUGCGGGAGGCAGCAGUAGGGAAUCUUCCGCAAUGGGCGAAAGCCUGACGGAGCAACGCCGCGUGAGUGAUGAAGGUCUUCGGAUCGUAAAACUCUGUUAUUAGGGAAGAACAUAUGUGUAAGUAACUGUGCACAUCUUGACGGUACCUAAUCAGAAAGCCACGGCUAACUACGUG